rnacentral:rRNA from 1 species
GCAGUCGAACGGCAGCGGGGGCUUCGGCCUGCCGGCGAGUGGCGAACGGGUGAGUAAUGCAUCGGAACGUGCCCAUGUCGUGGGGGAUAACGUAUCGAAAGGUACGCUAAUACCGCAUACGUCCUGAGGGAGAAAGCGGGGGAUCGCAAGACCUCGCGCGAUUGGAGCGGCCGAUGUCGGAUUAGCUAGUAGGUGAGGUAAAGGCUCACCUAGGCGACGAUCCGUAGCGGGUCUGAGAGGAUGAUCCGCCACACUGGGACUGAGACACGGCCCAGACUCUACGCGAGGCAGCAGUGGGGAAUUUUGGACAAUGGGGGCAACCCUGAUCCAGCCAUGCCGCGUGAGUGAAGAAGGCCUUCGGGUUGUAAAGCUCUUUCGGCCGGGAAGAAAUCGUGUUCUCUAACAUAGGACAUGGAUGACGGUACCGGACUAAGAAGCACCGGCUAACUACGUGCCAGCAGCCGCGGUAAUACGUAGGGUGCGAGCGUUAAUCGGAAUUACUGGGCGUAAAGCGUGCGCAGGCGGUUUUGUAAGACAGAUGUGAAAUCCCCGGGCUUAACCUGGGAACUGCGUUUGUGACUGCAAGGCUAGAGUACGGCAGAGGGGGGUGGAAUUCCUGGUGUAGCAGUGAAAUGCGUAGAUAUCAGGAGGAACACCGAUGGCGAAGGCAGCCCCCUGGGCCUGUACUGACGCUCAUGCACGAAAGCGUGGGGAGCAAACAGGAUUAGAUACCCUGGUAGUCCACGCCCUAAACGAUGUCGACUAGUCGUUCGGAGCAGCAAUGCACUGAGUGACGCAGCUAACGCGUGAAGUCGACCGCCUGGGGAGUACGGCCGCAAGGUUAAAACUCAAAGGAAUUGACGGGGACCCGCACAAGCGGUGGAUGAUGUGGAUUAAUUCGAUGCAACGCGAAAAACCUUACCUACCCUUGACAUGUCUGGAACCUUGCUGAGAGGCGAGGGUGCCUUCGGGAGCCAGAACACAGGUGCUGCAU